rnacentral:piRNA from 1 species
UGGGAUGCCCGACUCGCCAGCAAGUAAG